rnacentral:tRNA from 1 species
ACACCAAUGGUCUAGUGGUAGAAUAGUGUCCUGUCAUAGUACAGACCUUGGUUCGAUUCCAAGAUGGUGAA